rnacentral:rRNA from 1 species
AAUGAACGUUGGCGGCGUGGAUUAGGCAUGCAAGUCGAGCGAGAACUAGUAGCAAUACUGGGGAAAGCGGCGAAAGGGAGAGUAAUACGUAGGUACCUACCCUCGGGUCUGGGAUAGCUGCGGGAAACUGCAAUUAAUACCGGAUGGCGUCUCUGGACCAAAGGUGUGAUUCCGCCAGGGGAUGGGCCUGCGUCCUAUUAGCUAGUUGGCGGGGUAACGGCCCACCAAGGCUAAGAUGGGUACGGGGUGUGAGAGCAUGCCCCCGCUCACUGGGACUGAGACACUGCCCAGACACCUACGGGUGGCUGCAGUCGAGGAUCUUCCGCAAUGGGCGCAAGCCUGACGGAGCGACGCCGCGUGCGGGAUGAAGGCCUUCGGGUUGUAAACCGCUGUCAGUGGGGAGCAAAUGCAUCAGGGUUCUCCCUGGUGUUUGAGCGAUCCGCAGAGGAAGCACAGGCUAAUUCCGUGCCAGCAGCCGCAGUAA